UACGUAGGCAGCGAGCGUUGUUCGGAAUUACUGGGCGUAAAGAGUGUGUAGGCGGUGCUCUAAGUUCGGUGUGAAAUCUCCCGGCUCAACUGGGAGGGUGCGCCGAAUACUGAAUGACUAGAGUGCGGGAGAGGAUAGUGGAAUUCCUGGUGUAGCGGUGAAAUGCGUAGAUAUCAGGAGGAACACCGGUGGUGUAGACGGCUAUCUGGACCGUAACUGACGCUGGGGCACGAAAGCGUGGGUAGCAAACAGG
rnacentral:rRNA from 1 species